GUUCCGGUAGCUCAGUGGUAGAGUGUAGGAUUGCAGUCAAAAGCAGUCAUCCCAAGGUCGCGUGUUCAAACCACGCUCGGAACU